AUUGAACGCUGGCGGCAGGCCUAACACAUGCAAGUCGAACGGUAACAGGAAGCAGCUUGCUGCUUUGCUGACGAGUGGCGGACGGGUGAGUAAUGUCUGGGAAACUGCCUGAUGGAGGGGGAUAACUACUGGAAACGGUAGCUAAUACCGCAUAACGUCGCAAGACCAAAGAGGGGGACCUUCGGGCCUCUUGCCAUCGGAUUUGCCCAGAUGGGAUUAGCUAGUAGGUGGGGUAACGGCUCACCUAGGCGACGAUCCCUAGCUGGUCUGAGAGGAUGACCAGACACACUGGAACUGAGACACGGUCCAGACUCCUACGGGAGGCAGCAGUGGGGAAUAUUGCACAAUGGGCGCAAGCCUGAUGCAGCCAUGCCGCGUGUAUGAAGAAGGCCUUCGGGUUGUAAAGUACUUUCAGCGGGGAGGAAGGGAGUAAAGUUAAUACCUUUGCUCAUUGACGUUACCCGCAGAAGAAGCACCGGCUAACUCCGUG
rnacentral:rRNA from 1 species